rnacentral:rRNA from 1 species
UACAGAGGGGGCAAGCGUUGUCCGGAUUUACUGGGCGUAAAGGGUACGUAGGCGGCACGCUAGGUGGGGUGUGACAUUUCCGUGCUUAACACGGAAGGGCCGCCCCAAACCAGUGAGCUUGAGUUGUACAGAUGUUGGUGGAAUUGCCAGUGUAGCAGUGAAAUGCGUAGAGAUUGGCAGGAACACCAAGGGCGAAAGCAGCCAACAGGGUACACACUGACGCUGAGGUACGACAGCGUGGGGAGCGAACAGG